rnacentral:rRNA from 1 species
UACGUAGGGGGCAAGCGUUAUCCGGAUUUACUGGGUGUAAAGGGAGCGUAGACGGCAUGGCAAGUCAGAUGUGAAAGCCCGGGGCUCAACCCCGGGACUGCAUUUGAAACUGUCAGGCUGGAGUGCAGGAGAGGUAAGCGGAAUUCCUAGUGUGGCGGUGAAAUGCGUAGAUAUUAGGAGGAACACCAGUGGCGAAGGCGGCUUACUGGACUGUAACUGACGUUGAGGCUCGAAAGCGUGGGGAGCAAACAGG